UCGAGUGCCAGUCGCCUGCUCUGGAUGACCGCAGAGCUGUCUCGCCCGCACUCGACGUCGCGCCUGGAGCCGUCUCGCUCGCUCAGCCGCUGCCGUCGAGUCUCCCAGCGUGUGCAGCCCCACCUCCACGUUGGCUCGUCGUUGAUCGCCCUCGCCAGUGUGAGUCGCCGAUCCGAGCUCGCUUGCAAAGCACCGCGCGCUAGAGCAAGCUGUGUCUUGAGCCUCGCCUCGCCGUUCGCCAUCUUCGCAAGGUGAGAAUCCUGCGUCUACCCCUACGCUAAUUAAUUUCCUACUUAGUUGUGAGUCAUUAAAUUGAAUACUCAAUCAAAUCAAUUUACGAUUUUAAUUAUACGAUUGUAAGUACGUGGUAAUGUGAUUUUAACAACUUAGAUGUUAUAUUUAAUAUCUAUUUAGUGUUUAGUAUAAAAACAACAAUUAGUUAAUGAUUCUCGUGUGUUCGCGUGCUGCUUCACGCGUCACGGUCGUUCACGCAUGUCGCGCGUUGUCCGCACGCUACUCGCCUGUACUGUUUGUACGCUGUAACCGCCCAUUCCGCGCGUGUUGUGUGCUCUGUUCUACGCGUAUUGCGUGUUCUAUCCGCACGACGUUCGUACGUGUUGUUCGUGUGUCGUCGUUCGUGCGAGUCGCGAUUCGCGCGCUUUAAUAAAAUUAUUUAUUAGCCACAAAUUGUUAGCUAUUCCAUAUAUAACAUGUCGUACACCCAUUUCUAUUCGUUUCAGUCGCUUUAACUCGGUAGCAACGCCAAUUUCAUAUUAGUAACGUAUUUUACCAUGUCACAAAUUUUAAUGGUUUAAUUAGUUGUUCAUUCGACACUUAUUAAAUAAAAUGACCCUCUAAUUAAAACUAGUUUAUAGUUUUUAACUCGCGCUUUUAUAAUUAAAUAUUAAGUCGAUGAAUACCAACUCAAACGCUUUUCAGUUAAUACUUGUUUAGUAUCAUCGAGUUACCUGUUAGCGGUUAUUACACGUCGUCGCGUGCCAUUCGCGUGUGUCACGCGUCUUGCCGCGCGUCGUUCGCGCGUAUCUCGCGUGUCGAUCACGUGUGUCGCGCGGCGUCUGUGCGUGUUAAUAAAUUGUUCCCGCCAAUAAUCACUCAUGUUAAUAAGGUUAAUUCGUCUGGUCAUAUAUUUUAGAUAAUUAGCUUAAGGCCCGCUUGGCUAAUAGUUAUUAGAUUAAUAUUCUAACUAGAUUAAAUGUGUAGUGUUCCACAUGGGCUUAGAUAAUAAAUAUUAACAUGGCAAAUAUUAAUUUAACUGCUUUUUAUAUUUAAUAUUUGUUUAGUAUAAACGUGUCACCUAUUUAGUUUUCCUCGCCUUUCGCGCGUGCUGUUCCGCGCGUGGUGGCGUGCUGGUUCGUGCGACGUUCGCGCGCACUUUUUCGCGUGUCGUCAGUGUGCUAUGUCGUGCAUGUCUACACUGUUUGCACGCAGUCGCGUUGGUUUGCGCGUCGUAAAUUCGUCUCGCUUAGAAUCUCUUGUGUUAAUUAAAUUACUUAUUUAUUUGACAGUUGUUAGUGUAGCAGAUUAAUCAAACUAAAUAGUAGAUAUAAUUUAUAAUUGAUAAGGUCGAAUUAAUUAUUAGCGUUAAUACUUGUUUAGCGUAAAUGCGAUAUUUUCCCGACCGUCGCUUCGAGUUCGACAUUUCUUUCCCUCGCGUGACCAUAGAAUCAAGCUCUGUUUUAUGCUGCAUAUUUUUAUACCAUUUUAUCUUGUAUGGUGUAAUGUUCUUAUGCAUUUAUAUAUGUUUGUUUGCUUGUGCUUGUUCGUCUUCGCUUCGUGUUGCGAUUAGAUCGUGAUUUGUUCCCGCGCUUCGAGGAAUCGACGAUCAAGCUUCGACGAUCAAGUGAUCUAGCUCUUCGAGUUCCACGAAGUUGAAGACCCUAAGCAUCUGUUUGGUGAAGGCAAGUGUCCUUUGACCUAUUAUGUCUCAUUUACUUUAUAAUUCAUCAACCCGCAUACCAUGAUCAACCUAAGGAUUGACUAGCUUUGUAUUUACCUUGUCCUUGCUUAUCUUUUGGGUUACUAUGGUUAGCUUCAUGCUAUUGCUUUACUUUAAUCAAUGAACAUGAUGUGAACACUUAUGAUACGAUGUUGUCAUUAUUAUUAUGAUGUUGGACUGGUGAUACUUUAGGGGGCUCGAGUGGUUUCUCGAGUGCCUCUCCGUAAGGACCUAUUCGUUCGAUGACCGCCCGGAAAAACAGUGCAACCAUGAGGGUGGAAUGGGAUGCCCUUAGCUAAUUAGUUAGAGAAACUAGAGAUGUAGUUGCUUCGCCGCCGUGCCGUCAAUGGGGUCCAGGCACAGUGCUUGCUCUGCCGAGGCUGGGUGCCGAGGUUCUUUCAUUUUGCUUUUGUUAGUCACCCCUCUGCGGGGAGUGGUGCUGUGUUUAUCAAACUGGAGAAACCUAACGGGCGGUUAUGACCUCUAGGGAAUCUUUGUAAAGGCUUCGUAGUGAAUCCCUGGCCAUUCACCUUGGGAGUGGAUAAGGGUCUUGCAAGCCCGGGCUAGAGAGGGAAUCACGUCUUGUGGGUAAAGUGUGCAACCUCUGCAGAGUGUUUGAAACUGAUAUAUCAGUCGUGCUCGCGGUUAUGAGCGGCCAAGGGAGCUCCAUUGAUUAGAGACACAUUGGAUCAUGGAUACUUUGUUUACAGGUGAUGAUGAUGAUGAUAAUGCUGGUUUCUAUUGUGAUUAUGAUUAUGGUUUUCUGGUAUUCUUUCCGUUUGGAAAGGGUACUUUUGGGUUAACAACUUGGGUUAAUGCUAAAACCUGGCUCUAUAUUAGUAAUAAUUACCUGACCAACUAAAAGCAACUGCUUGACCCUAACUCCACAUAAAGCUAGUCCACUACAGCCAAACGGGACAUUUGCUGAGUACGUUGAUGUGUACUCACCCUUGCUUUCACAAAACACCAGGUUGCCUUUGGUGCAAUCUAUGCUCAGGUAAAGAAGGUGUCGAGGCGGAUCUCCAGGAGUUCCAGGACUUCGACGAGUCCGAGGAUUAGGCUAGCGACCUCCCCCAGUUAGCUGCCUGUGGUUGGUUGUUUACGUUGGCUACGUUUCGAUUCUGUGUACUUUGAUUUAUAUUAUGUAAAUGGCUCUAGUCUGUAAUAUUAUUACUUACUCUUUAUUGUAAUUCGAAGCAUUGUGCUAUGAUGAGUCAUUUAUGUAAUCGUUGUGUACGUGAAUAACUGAUCCUGGCACGUGCAUGGUUCGCAUUCGGUUUACCUUCUAAAACCGGGUGUGACAUAAGUGGUAUCAAAGUCGUGCUGACUGUAGGACCGUUAACCUAGAGUAGCAUUGGCCGUUUUAAGGACUUACUUAUUUUUACUUCACCUCAUCCUUGAUUCUGUUUCAAAAUAUUAGUCACCUCGACUAAUUUUAUGUUGUGAUCCUAUAUGCCCCUUGCCAAAAAGUAUUUUAUUUUAGUAUGGUCUAUACUUCUCUCAAUCUAUUAGAUCUGAUCUCACUCUUGUGCUUGCGACAUCUUUGUAGAUGCCCCCUGACCAUAACCUUCUUGUCUUUUUGGGAUUCUUUUCUCUUUCGUCCUUAAAUUGCUACCAUCUAGCAAAUUCUAGUCCUUUGGUAUUGACAUGCCUGUAUCCCUUUAAUACUCUUGUUUCAAAUACUUGCCUCUAAGUUUCUACUACCUACUUAGACAUUUUAGUUUAUAUGUCUAUGACCCUUAUGUCUUUUGGGACCCUUUCCUCUUCUGUUGUUAAGUCGCUAUCUUUCGGCAAUUUCUUGUCUCUUGGUAUUGGUAUGCUCAUCUCCUUGAAAUCUUUCAUACUCUCAUCUCUUUUAUGCUUGCCUUUAUAUCCCAAGGUCUGUUUAAGAUAUUUCAUUCUACAUGCCCUUGACCACCCUUGUCUCUUAAUGAUCCAUGAGCGGUCAUUUUAUUUUGCACACUCGUGGUAAUCUCGUUGUUUCCUUGUAACUUCCUUCGAUAAUGAAUUUUUUACUUCAACUCUUCUGUUGGAACCUCACUUAUCUUAUCCCUGAUUGUUUUCUCCAUUUUGUCACUUUGCGAGCCUUGCCUAAACUCUGUCCAUGGAUUACACUUUUCAUCAUUAUCACCUUUAUCCUUAUCACAUCUAUAUUUUACCUUGAUGUUUAUCUUAUACCAGCCUUUAAAAUAUCCUCUUUUCCGUCUCAAUCUGAGCAUCGUACUUUACCUACUUUUCCCUUGGGUGUAUCCUCUUCUUUGUCACCUACGAGUUUUUAACUCUAUCCUUUGUUGUGUUUUUGUUUGUUAUUUCUUUACCCUUCUCAUCACUCUAUCAUGCCUUGUGAUUACAAUAUGUCUGUUUUCUUAAAUCUCCAGUCUCCUAUCUCAAUUUGAGACUGAUGUUUUACUUACCUCACCCUUGGCUAUAUCCUCUUCUUUACCGUGUGUAAGCUUGGGAGCAACUCCAUUCUUUGUUGUACUCAUACCACUGGCUCUUCUAUGCCUUCAUCUUUCUCCUAUACUCUUGUCUGUUGUCGCAUUUGACCCUUGCGAUAUUUAUGUCUUCUACCUAAAUGCUUACCUUGAACUUAUCCUUUAAAAGCCUCACCUUUCUUUCAACCCAAUUUGAGAGUUGCGAGUUACCCAUCUCUCCCUUGAUUUCUUUUCACUUCUUGUCGCCUUACAAGUUUUAUGUUAAUUCCAUCCCUUGUUGUGUUUUUAUUUGCUAUCACCCUCGCCUUGUCGUCCAUCGAUCUUACCCUUGAUACUCAUCUUUAUUCCUAGUUCUUAAAAAAAUCCCCUCUCUUCCACCUCAAUUUGAGAGUGACAAUUUACCUAUCUGGCCCUUGGACGUACCCUCUCCUUUUCCACUUGCAGGUCCUGUCUUAACUCCAUCCUUUAUGGUACUCAUAUCUUUUGUCUUAUGCUUAUUUACCUCCUCUCCUACAUCAUUAUCCGUUAUUACCUUUAAAACCCUCGUGAUAUCUAUGUCCUUACCCUCCUACUUAUCUCGAACCUAUCCUUUGAAGCCUCCUCUUUUCCAUCCCUGUUCGAGGAUAAUGCCUCAUCUAUCUCAUCAUUGACUGCUCCCCUUCUCUAACACCUUGCAAGCUUUUCCUCAAAUACAUACUUUGUUGUGUGUUUGUCCGUUAUCACAUUAACCCUUGUCAUCCCUCGAUCUUUACCUUGAUGCUUAUCAUGUACCCACAUUUUAAAGCUUCCUCUCCCAUUUCAGUUCAAGAGUGUUGUCUUGCCCAUCCCGAUCUUGUUCGUUCCCUUUUCCUCUAUCUCACUGCAAGUCUUGCCUUAACUCGAUCUUUUGGUGUGCUUUUGCCUGUUACCUCCUGUACCUUUGUAAUCACGCGAUCUUUCUAUGAUGCUUAUCUUAUGUCUACCUUUUGAAUUAUCAUCUUUCCCAUCUCAAUUUGAGAAUGGUGUUUACCUACCAUGUCCAUGGUUGCAUUUUCUCCAUUGUCGAUUACAAUCCUUGCUUAAACUCCAUCCAUUAUUGUGCUCGUGUCCCUAUCCUACACGUCUUGUUCUUCUCCUCGUCCUUCGACAACCUUAGAAAUUAGUUAUUCCCUUUUUAGAGAAGACCACCAUCUAUUUAGCAUUAACGUGUAGCAACGAGAUGUUUGUUGUUGUAUGCUUGUGAUAUUUGCCUUUGUGUGAUGAUUGAUUUGCUUCUUUGUGAUGAGUGUUGAUGUGUUGUGGCCCUUAGUCCGCAAUGACAUCAGUUCACUAGGUGAGUGCCAUAUAUUUAAGUAGUUGGGUUCUUCCCCCGCUCUCUCUAAUCCGUCUAUACUUACCUUUUCUCGCUAUUCUUUCCUCUUGCACCUGUCCAGUCAGCGACCUCCAACCUCUCCUAAUCAGUCAAGAUCAGAGUUAGCAACAUCUUCACCAAAUACAUAUCAACGCUCCUGUUAAGGGGGUUAGCCGCUAACCCCAAUGAAGACAAUGUGAUCAACAUCAACAAACAAGAUCAAAGUGAAGCAGCGGAAGCAUGUGUGGGUCCUAACCCACAGGUCCAAGGGAUCCUCAAGAAUUGCAUCGAUCGGUCUCAAGCAUCUAAAGGCCAAAGUAACCAGUCCACAAGUUAAGUUUGUAGAGUCAAAGUCAACUCAAGAAAGCUGUGAACAACCAAUGAACCAAUCUCAUUUUCUUGCUAGCCUCUUCUUGAAUCUCGAGGGCGAGAUUCUGUAAAAGGGGUUAGAUUUGUAACACCCUAAAUUUUGGGGUAUAAAAAUUUCUUUGUUAUAUACUCAAAAUUCAGGUUUUACCCUCUUUCCCUUUUCUUUUGCCUAUAUAGUGGGGAGCUAUUACAUAUAUAUACUGCUAAUUUGAAUAUAAACAUAUGUGUAUUGCAUUUGAUGCCGAAGCCUAGUUUUUUUGUUUGCUAAAAAUAGCCAUGUGGUGUAUCCGUUUAGAAAGAAAAGAAAUAUUAGUUUUGGAUGAUCUAAUAUUAUAUAUAUAUAUAUCCAUAUUCACACAUAUAUAUAAAUAUAUAUGGGGAGAAAAAGGAAUUUAGAAAGAUAAAAAAACAAACCUCUCUUUUCCCAUGACACGGUCUGCAAGGAGGCCAUGGCCAAUCAGGCCACGCGUGUGGCCCCUGCCCACGAACGCAUGCGGCGCAAGCAGCCACCCCCAGCCCGUCGCGCUCGCGGCCCAGCGCGCGGCGCGCUGCUCCCCCAGCCCAUCGCGCGUGCAGUGGAAGCAGGGGCAGCGCCCAAGCCGCCCAGCCAUGCCGGUCGUCCUCCCUAGCGCCCCAGACUUUUUUUGCGUGCGUGGGCGGUUUCGUUGCGCGCGCCGCCUCUUCGUGCCUGGGUGCCGCACGCUCUCAGGCCACUGCGCAGAUCGCCCCCACAGGCGCGGCAAGGCAGGGCCGGGUCUCUGCGCACGGCAGCCGGCCGGCUGCAGCCCCUAGCCGUGGCCAUGGCGGCGGCCAGCCCCAUCCCAGCCGAUCUCGGUCCUCCGGUGAUGCCCCUGCGUCGGUCGAGUGCAAGUCGCCUGCUCUGGAUGACCGCAGAGCUGUCUCGCCCGCACUCGACGUCGCGCUUGGAGCCGUCUCGCUUGCUCAGCCGCUGCCGUCGAGUCUCCCAGCGUGUGCAGCCCCACCUCCACGUUGGCUCGUCGUUGAUCGCCCUCGCCAGUGUGAGUCGCCGAGCCGAGCUCGCUUGCAAAGCAUCGCGCGCCAGAGCAAGCUGUGUCUUGAGCCUCGCCUCGCCGUUCGCCAUCUUCGCAAGGUGAGAAUCCUGCGUCUACCCCUACGCCAAUUAAUUUCCUACUUAGUUGUGAGUCAUUAAAUUGAAUACUCAAUCAAAUCAAUUUACGAUUUUAAUUAUACGAUUGUAAGUACGUG
rnacentral:lncRNA from 1 species